rnacentral:lncRNA from 1 species
AAACAAUUAAACUCCAGUCCAAAUCUCACACUAAGACAAUGGAGCAUCUAACAGAGUAAUAUGUGUUUUAUUGACGGGUAUACAAACCCCCUUCCCCCAAAAGAAAUAACUAAGACGAACUAGGCAAGUCUGUAGUGAAAGCCUCCACGAACAAUGCGGUAUAUCACCUUAGCAAUAGGAUCCACUCGAACAAACUCGUCAGCCACUAGCUCUAUCUCCCGCAAUGGUAUCUGCAUAGAGAUGCAAUUAAGGAGGGAGUUGUACGUAAAUAUAACCCAGUAAGAUCUUCGACCCUCCACUUUAAAUACCUCUGGAACAAAUGUUAGAAAAUACAAACACACUACAACACGAAUGAUAUAGUAAAUGUGUAAUCAUACUAUAACUCAAUAAAUGUGUAUCAAUAGAGUUAUUAAGAACUAACCAAUAAGAAUACUCACUAAGGACUUAUCAUAAUUGCAGUGAAAGAAGUUUACCAACACACCAUUAGUCCACAAUGGCACCAUAAUGCGUCAAAUAUGUAAUAGAGCAUACACAAUGCUCGGGUGAUGCACAAAGGCAUACACAAUGCUCCAACAUCAUGGUGCACAAUCGCAUCAAACUCAACAUCAUGACGUACAGUUGUAUCAAAUUCAAUAUUACGGCGUACAGGGCGCACAGCCGUAUCAAACUCAACACCAUGGCUUACAGGCGAAUCAAACUAUAAAACUCAACCUCAUGGCGCAUAGUCGUAUCACAUUAUCAAACAACUUAUGAAAUAAUUUUUUUUUCAUAAAAUAAUAUAUUUGCAGCUAGUCUAAGACCACAGACUCUACCAAGCGCAUGCUUGUCCGAACACAUGGACCAGUAGAGAAAACACACUUUUAAAAUGGGUUUUAGAAAGCAAGUAUCAAAGCUGAAAGUCUCACUUACCUCGAUAACGGGAAGUUCCCUAACUUUGCAAAGCCUAGAAAACCAACCCAAUGACCUCCAAUGUCCUCAAUCUAUUGAAAAUAUUAAUUAAAGAUAUCUAUUAGGCUAGUCGGAGCCAAAUAUAAAUAUUUCUAUUUUCAAGCUUAGGGUUGAAUCCUAACAUUUUAUCUACUAAGUGCCAUACUAAUAAUAUCAAAAUACUUGUCAGUAUCACAAUCCAAAUUAAGAUCUAAUUACAACUCUUCGGAAGUAAUACCCAAAUCAAAGAAAAAGUCAAUGUCUGCCCAACUUAAGAAUUAAUAGCGAACCAGUGCCUUAGUUUUAAUACCAAAGUCCGAAUAUGUUCAAGUGAACAAUCUGAAUGAAUUUUCAUUUUGAUUUCAAAAUCCUACAUUUACUUAUCUUUUUUAUUUUCUUCCUCAAGAUCCUUAGACUUUCUCGUAUUUACCAAUUGCUCAACGACCUAUUGAGGGGUCAUUUGAGGAGCUACAACAUUAAGCUGAACUUGUGUUUGCGCUUAUGAAGUAGUCUGGGGAGCUGGAAAUCCACCCUGAGUAGGCGCUUAUGCCUCUAACAUAUUUAACAACCUCACUUUUGCAUCUACAGGUAAGGUAACAAUAGGCACAUUAAUUGGGACCGGUGAUGGAGCAUAUUGAACCACCUGUACUUGCACUCGAUCUGACAUAGUAGCUUGGAAUUGACCCAUGUUCACAACCUCAGGCCUACUGGUCUGAGCUCUAGUAUGGUGAGCUCCAACUUGACCACCACUAAUUAUAGAAGUGAUACUCAAAUCAGAGAAAAAGUCAAUGUCUUCCUAACUUAAGAAUUAGUAGUGAAACACUGCCCCUAGUUUUAAUAUCAAAGUCCAAAUAUGUUCAAGUGCACAAUCUGAAUGAAUUUUCAUUUUGAUUUCCAAAUCCUACAUUUACUUGUCUUUUUUAUUUUCUUCCUCAAGAUCAUUUGCAUAUAAUUAUUAUUCUUUCAAUCAUUAUCAUAUAGUAUAUGAAGAUAUAAGUACCAAAUUCUUCACUUAAAUUCACUAAUAUAUAAGUACUUACUACAUAUACUUGGGUCAUAGAGUUCAUCUUUUGUAGUAAAAUAUAACGCAAUUAAUUUUUAUGUGCACAGACCAAUUAUUCCACGAGCAAUAUUUUGAGAAUACUCUCUUAAAGAGUUUUGUCAUCACUAAAUGGUGAGGUUUCCUUUAUUAUUAAAUUUCAUGUUAAUUUCCAGUGCAUCAAAAAUGCCAUAGUGUCUGCCACUCUUGUUCCCCAAUUCUAUUCUGAUCACUACUAUAAUAAAAUUACCAAUAGUAUAGUUUCUUACUUUGGGGAACAAUUAAUGGGUGGGCUAAAUAUUGUACCUCAACACCAAUGUUGAAUUGCAAGAAUUGUCCACUCCCAAUUUUUAGUACAGCCAUCGUCCUCUCCACCACACUCCUCUGUAUCCUUUUUUUUUCUAUCUAAUUACAGUGUUAUUACUCUGCUCCUCUAGAUAUCUUAGAAUUAACAAACCCCCUUUUACUUAGUGUUUUCAUGCGUGACUCCAAACCUGGCAGCUAGAAGAAUGGGCUUGGCCUAGACUCUACUAUUUUGUGAAAAUUAUUUAUAAGGUUGUAUAGUAUUUUGCCCAACAACUACUAACUAAAUAAAAAAAAUUUCCUCCUCUUUCAAAUAAUUAACUAAUAUAUAAAUAAUUUUGGCCAAUUACAUUCUUCCCCACUUAAAGAAGUGAUCAUCCUCAAACGAGUUAGAAAGUGUAUCUGAUAUGUCAAACAAUUGAGGGUACUUGCUUCGCAUAUCUGCUUCAGACUCCCACGUAGCUUUCUCUGUUGGAUGGUUACGCCAUAAUACUUUCACCGAAGAAAACAUUUUCGACCAUAAUUGCCGCAGUUGCCUAUCAGGAAUAGUUAUCGGACCUUCCUCAUAAGUUAAGUUUUCAUCAAGCUCCACAGCAUCUGGCUGAAUCUUGUGACUAUCAUCAUGAAAAUAUCGUCUAAACAUAGACACAUGAAAUACAGGAUGAACCGCAAACAACCUUGGGGCUAAGGUAAGUUUAUAUGCCACUGAUCCAAUUCGAUCUAAAAUCUCAUACGGACCAAUAUACCUUGGACUUAGCUUGCCUUUGCGCCCAAAUCUCACGACUCCUUUCAUAGGGGACACCUUCAAAAAGACUUUUUCUCCUUUCAUGAACUCCAAAUCACGAACUCUCUUAUCUGCAUAGGAUUUUUGUCUACUUUGAGUUGUCUGAUGUCGUUCUCGUAUCAAUGCAACUUUCUCCAAAAACUACUGAAACAAAUUCGAACCCAAUAGUUAUGUUUCACGAGGUUCAACCAUCCUACUGGUGAACGACACUUACAACCAUAUAGAGCUUCAAACGGCGCCAUUUGUAUACUCGAUUGAUAGUUUUAUUAUAAGCAAAACCUGCUAAUGGCAACUGAUCGUCCCAAUGACCACCAUUAUCAAUUGCACAAGCUCUAAGCAUGUCCUCCAAGAUUUGAAUAACCUCAUUCGGACUAUCCGUCCAUUUGUGAUGGAAAGCAGUGAUCAACUCAAUCUGAGAACCCAAUGACGUCUGAAAAGACUUUCAAAAUAGCAAUAAAUUGUGCACCCCGAUCUGAUAGUAUAGAAAUAGGCACACUAUGAAGCCAAACUAUCUAACGGAGGUAUAUAUCUGCUAGCUGUUCUGCAGUAUGAGUAAGCCGAACUGGUAUGAAGUGUGCGGACUUUAUAAGUUUUUCCACGAUCACCCAUACUGAAUCAUGUUUCUCAAAAGCAAGUGGCAACCCAACUACAAAAUCUAUAUGCUUUCCCACUUCCACUCAUGGAUAAUCAAUUUCUGCAUCACACCGCCUAAUUUUUGGUGCUCAUACUUUACUUGCUGAAAAUUUAAGCAACUAGUCACAUAUUUCAGAAUAUCAUAAUUCAUACCUCUCCACCAGUACAACUCACACAAGUCUUGAUACAUUUUAGUAGCACCUGGAUAGAUAGAGUAACGAGAGCUAUGAGCCUCUUCAAGAAUCAACUGCUUUACAUCAUCCACCAUAGGGAUAUAUAAUCUACCAUGUCAUCGUAGCAUACCUUCAUUAUCAAUUGAAAAAAUGACUUAAUACCUCCAUUCUGCACUCGAUCUCAAUGUCUAAUUAGAUGAGGAUCCUCAAACUGAUGAGCCUUGACCUAUCCAACCAAGGACGAUUGUGCUACCAAACCCGCAAGUAACCUGUCCAAUAAAGUAUGGUCAAUAAGAACUCCCUAAUUAGCUAAUGCCUAAAUAUCUAUAACCAUAGGUUGUUCUUCAAUAGUGAAUUGAGCCAAACUAGCCAUAGACUUUCUACUCAAUGUGUCUGCCACCAUAUUCGCCUUCCCAGGAUGAUACAAAAUAGUAACAUCAUAAUCUUUAAGUAGUUCUAACUAAUGUCUCUACCUCAGAUUUAGAUAUCUUUGGUUGAAUAUAUAUUGUAGACUCUUUUGAUCAGUAUAGAUUAAACACGGCUCAUCAUAAAGAGAUCUCAAGUGCAAAUAUGAUCGCAACCAAUUGCAAGUCAUGAGGUGGAUAAUUUUUUUCAUGGUUCUUUAGUUGUCGAAAAGAAUAAGCUACUACCUUGCCAUUUUGCAUUAGCACGCAACCCAAACCGACUCGAGACACAUCAUAAUAAAUUGUAAAACCCCCUACCCUUGUAGGUAGUGACAAAAUUGGAGCUGUAAUCAACACAGUCUUCAAUUUCUGAAAACUUUCUUCACAUUCAUAUGGCCACUGAAAUGCAACACUUUCUGAAUCAAUUGUGUAAAUGGAGUGGCUAUCUUUGAGAAACCCUCAACAAACCUUCUAUGAUAUUCGGCUAGGCCUAAAAAGUUACGUAUCUCUAUAGGAGUAGUAGAUCAAGGCGAAUCUCAAACUACCUUUAUCUUCUUUGGAUCAACUUGAAUCCUAUCUCGUGACACCAAAUGUCCCAAAAAGGAAAAUGUAUCGAACAUAAAUUCACACUUUGAGAACUUGGCAUAAAUCUUUUGCUCUCUAAGUGUCUGUAGCAUAACUCUCAGGUGUUGUUCAUGUUCUGCCUCGCCUUGAGAGUAGACUAAAAUAUCAUCAAUACAUACAAUCACAAAAUGAUCUAAGAAUGGCUUGGAUACCCUAUUCAUAUGGUCCAUAAACGCUGCGGGCUUUAGUAAGCCCGAAAGAGAUCACCAAAAAUUAAAAAUGCUCGUACCUGGUCCGAAACGCUAUCUUGGAUAUAUCCUCGGUCUUAAUUCUCAACUGAUGGUAACCUGAUCUCAAGUUAAUCUUUGAAAAGAAAGUUGCACCCUGUAGUUGGUCAAAUAGAUCAUCAAUACAUGGCAACAUAUAUUUAUUCUUGAUCGUCACCUUAUUCAGCUGCCUGCAAUCAAUACACAUUCUCAUCGUGCCAUCUUUCUUUUAAACAAAUAAUACAGGUGCACCCAAGGAGACACACUAAGUCUAAUAAAUCCCUUAUCAAGUAGAUUUUAAAGUUGAGCCUUUAAUUCUCUCAACUCCGCUGGAGCUGUACGCUAUGGAAGAAUAGACAUAGGUUGAUUUCCUGGAACCAAAUAAAUACCGAACUAAAUUUCAUUUGUUGGAGGCAGCCCGGGUAAAUCUUCUGGAGGCACAUCAGCAAAUUCUCGAACCACUAGGACACUAUAAAUAGUAACAUCCUCUAAUAAUGUAUCAUGAACGGUUGCAAUAAAACCCACUCAUUAUUAACCGUUCGACGUGCUUUUAUAUAGGAUAUUAUCUUUCCCUAAGUUAGAGGAGUUAUGCCUUUCCACAUUAAACAUGGUUCUCCAGGAAAAUCAAAACGUAUAAACUUGGAAUGACAAUUAAGUGAGGCAUAACAUGACGCUAACCAAUCCAUACCCAUGAUUACAUCAAAGUCAGACAUAGGCAAUGCUAGUAGAUCAACUAUGGUGUCCCUUCCCAGAAUAAGUAUCACACAGUCUCUAUAGACUCUAUCCACAAUAUAGUCUCCCAAGUAUAAGGCACAUUAAGAGACUCAACUCGUCGCUCUAAGUAUAUGGAAAAGGAUGGAGAUACAUAUGAAUACAUAUAACCAGGAUUAAUAAGAGCGUAAGCUCCAUAAGAGACGAUAAUGAUAAUACUUGUGAUGGCUGUAUUAGAUGCCUCGACAUCCUGUUUGGUCAUAGCAAAGAAUCUCUGUGGUCCACCUGCUCCCAGAGUAGUUUGUGUACCCUAUCGAUCCUAUCCAUGAGGCACCUACGGAGCUCCUCUAGCUGGCUGAGUCUAAGUGUGUGUACCAAUAAACAUUCUCUGCAGCUGUGGAGUAGCAUGGCUAGUAGCAAAAUAUCCUCUAGGACAAUGCUUUGCAAUAUGUCUUUUUUGGCCACAAGUAAAACAAACCCCAUCUAUUGCAAAAGAACGACCGCUUUGAUUUCUACCACAACUCGAACACCUCGGGUGUUGACCUGAUUGAUGUGAGCCAUUAUCCUUCCUCUGUAUCUGCUGCUGCCCUUGCUUAGCUAGGUAAGCACUUCUAGAAGACUGCACUACUGACUCUAACUGAGUAGGUCUGGACUGCCUAUGAUUAAAACCACCCAUGCCCCAGAUGGAGCUCCUCUAAACCGGCCUACGCUACGAGCCCUUUUGCUUUCUCCUUCGGUUAAGACUCAUAGCGGAGAGCAGUAUCCACUACCUCUUCGUACGAACCACCUCGAAUAUCCCUAAUCACAGGACCCCGACAACAAUUCUCAAGCCCAUCUACGAACCUCCUCACCUUCUCAUGCUCAUCUGUAAAUAGAAAUGGUGCAUAACUAGCUAAGUCAGUAAACUUAAUAUCAUACUCUAUAACCAUCAUAAUUCCCUAGUGCAACUGCUCGAACUGACGUCUCAUGUCAUCUCGCUUGCUCAGUUAAACGAACUUAUCCAUAAACAUAGCUGAAUACUAUGACCAUGUAACGAUGGAAACCUUGCUCGUGUACCUCUCUGAACUGAAUUCCACCAUGACUCUGCAGAUCCUAUGAAUAGAAAAGUGGCUAAUUCCACUCCUCAAGUCUCAUUCAUCCCUAAGUAGAUAGUAUCUUCUUGCAACGCUGAAUGAACUUCUGGGCUCAAUAGAAGCCAUGUAGCAUUGACACCUGGUGGAUUAAGGUCCAUAAAACUCUUAAGAUCCUUAGACUGCCCCAUAUUCACCAAUGGAUGAACGACCUGCUGAGGGGCCAUCGGAGGAGAUGCAACAUUCAACUAAACUUGUGCUUGCACCUACGAGGUAGUCCGGGGAGCUAGAAGUCCACCCUGAGUAGGCACUAAUGCCUCUAACACAUUUAACAACAUUACCGCUUCAUCUGUAAGUAAGGUAAUAGUAGGCUCAUCAAUUAGGACUGGUGGUGGAGCAUAAUGAACCACUUGUUCUUGCACUCGAUCUGGCAUUAUAGCUUGGGAUUAACCCGUGUUCACAACCUCAGGCUGAGGAGCGGCAUGUCUACUAGUCUGAGCUCUAGUAUGAUGAGCUCCAACUUGACUACCGCUAAUUACAAAAGUAAUACUAAAAUAAGAGAAGAAGUCAAUAUCUGCCUAACUUAAGAAUUAGUAGUGAAAUAGUGCCUUAGUUUUAAUACCAAAGUCCAAAUAUGUUCAAGUGCACAAUCUGAAUGAAUUUUCAUUUUGAUUUCCAAAUCCUACAUUUACUUGUCUUUUUUAUUUUCUUCCUCAAGAUCAUUUGCAUAUAAUUAUUAUUCUUUCAAUCAUUAUCAUAUAGUAUAUGAAGAUAUAAGUACCAAAUUCUUCACUUAAAUUCACUAAUAUAUAAGUACUUACUACAUAUACUUGGGAUCUUCUUUAUUUUCUUCCUCAACAUCAUUUUCAUGUAAUUAUUAUUCUUUCAAUCAUUAUUAUAUAGUAAAUAUAAAUAUAUAAGUACCAAAUUCUUCAUUUAAAUUCAGUAAUGUACAGGUACGGACUAUAUAUACUUGGGUCAUAGAUUUCAUCUUUUAUAAUAAAAUAUAACGCAAUUAAUUUUUAUGUGCAUAGACCAAUUAUUUCAUGAGCAAUGUUUUGAGAAUACUCUCUUAAAGAGUUUUGUCAUUACUUAAGGGUGAAGUUUCCUUUAUUAUUAAAUUUCAUAUCUAUUUCCAACGCAUCAAAAAUUCCAUAUCUAUAUAAAUUACACAUUUUCCUAACUAUUAAAUACCUUUCAAAACUCAAACUACAGAGAAAAAAGGGAGGGAAUAUAGCGAUUAUUACGUCAUAGGAAUCAUUUUAAUGUUAUCGCUACUUGAUUUCGUGCCCCGGAUGAUAAUCUUGUUGGAAACCAUUGUGAAAAGCUCUAAUGGAAGGUUAGGGGUAUUAUUUGGUCGAUCUAUAUGGAAUUAUGAAGAAAGAGACGACAUAGGAAGAUAAAUAUCCAUUUUGGUUGAAAAGUCAAAAAGGUGCUACUUGGCACCCUAGCAUUGGUUCAUCUUCCAAUGCUUAUAACUUUUUAUCCGGGUGUCGUAUGAGCGAACGCCUAAGAGAGUUAGAAACUAGAUUCCAAGAUCAUUAAAUUAAUAUAUAAUAUGUCCCAAAAAGACCUCAUAUAAUACACGAAAUAUAUUGCUCAAAGAGCUUUAGCGGCAUACCUUCUUGCCAACUAUGCAGUCUGUGCAGUCUUGUGAAACUGCAAAUAUCCAUCUACUCCAAUAUCGUAUUGACAAACCGUUUAACGCAUAAGAAAUUAGUCUCGUAGAUCUUCAAUUUAUAUAUGGAUCAUCCCAUAAUUCCAAGUAUAUUAUGAGAAAAGCUUCACUACGCCUAAUUUUUAGCACAUUUAUAAAUGCAACUUGUAAUGACAUUUGCCAACUUUUGUUCCACAACUCGCUUAACUCCAAAUUGUAACACACGACUAUCAUAAACCUUAAAUAAUUAUAACAUAGCAUCCUUAUCACGUUAAGGACCCUACUCUCACCCCCAAAGUUCAUGUUAUAACAUUCCCAACUUAUCGACUUUCGACGAAACUUAUUUCCUUCAAUUUGCUUAGCUUCUAAGCCUUUCCAACCAUCUUGUUACUUGUUAUUCAUGAACUUAAAUAUUUGUAACCUCUAAGUUAACAUGAUUACGUUACUAUAUUUGCUUCCAAUAGAAUCUUAUUUCUGAGCUUACAUCAAUUGACUUACGACGUACUCUCACAUACGAAAACAUGGGGUAUAACAUAAAAUCUAGACACAACCUAUUUGAAAGUAAUCAUCUUUAUUGUUUGAAAAAUGGGGUGUAACCGUACCUGAGCACCAAUGUUGAAUUGCAAGAAUUGUCCACUCCAAACUUUUAGUACAAAUGUUGUCCUCUUCACCACACUCCCCUGUACCCUUUUUUUUUUAUCUAAUUGAAGUGCCAUCACUCUGCUCCUCUAGGUAUCUUUGAACUAACAAACCCCCUUUCACAUGUGUUUUCAAGCGUGACUCCAAACCUGGUUGCUAGAAGACUGGGCUUGGCCUAGACUCUUUAUUAUUUUGUGAAAAUUAUUUAUAAGGUUGUAUAGUGUGUGGCCCAAUAACUACUAACUAAAUAAAUUUUUUUUCCUCUUGUUUCAAAUAAUUAAUUAAUAUAUAAAUAAUUUUGGUCUAUUACAACUAUAUUCCCAAAAAAUCAAAAACAAAAGAAGAUUUGAGCAAGAAAAAAAAACAAGCACAAAAUGAAAAUGGUCUACCAAAAUGUUAACUGUAUUAUUAAGCUAAAUGCUUUAACUUAAUAUGCUUGAAACCUACAUGCAAGCAAAACACGACUUGAAACAGAAAAACAAGGAAGAAAAAGAAAAAAUCAGAAGGAGACGAAGAUGGAAGAAAACAAAGAAAGGAGAAAAAAUGAACGGAGAUACCUAAAUAGGUAGGCAGACGGUUGGCUUGAACGGACCUCCAACACUUUUCGAAUUGAACCGACAUCGAUAUUAAUCGCAUUUUCUUGUCGAGAACAAAUGAUCAAUACAAGUUUCAGGACAAAUUAUUCUUGGAAACUUGAAGAAUUGCAUGAUUUUUCUUUCUUUUUUUUGGAAUUAACACUAGUCAGAUUUGGUGGGGAUUUUGGGAGAUGUAGCGAUGGAUUAGGAAUUGAGGGACGGUGGUGAUUGUGUGGUAGGGAUUUUGGGUCGAUUGGGCCACGCCACCGACCGGUGGAGGCUUAGGAAUUUUAGGGCGGUGGGUCUUCUAGGGUUUAGAUUUGAGAGAGAUGAAAGAGAAGCUGAACAUGGUCCUAGAUUGUUCUGAGAGUAUUCAGACAAUUUUAAACCAAAUGGGGAAAGGC